UCCAAUGUGGUGUAGUGGUUAACAUUGCUGUCUUUCACUCUUGACCAACAGACACAGCAGCCCGGGGUUCGAUUCCCCGCAUUGGAA